rfam:Corynebacterium sp. NML 130206 Clow_contig000005, whole genome shotgun sequence.
ACCUGGGCACGAUCCUCGGUGAGCGGGGAACCGACCCAGUGUACAAACCUUAGGAA